UGAAAUUAAUUUGGGACGGAAAUGGAGGAGUAUAGAAAACUUUAAAAGUAAUCGUAUAUAUAUAUUAUUUGGCGGUGCCGGCGGUGGUGGUAAAAAGACCAAACUCGUGACAGGAAAAGCGGCAACCUUGUUGAAUUUCCGAAAAUGUCCUCUCUCCCAAACGAACUGUGGAGUAGAAUUCUCGAAAUCGGAAUCGGAAAAAGCGGUUUGAGCUACAAAGACCUCUGCUGCAUCUCCAUCUCAUGCCGCCUCCUUCACCGCCUCUCCUCCGAUGACUCUCUUUGGAACCACCUUCUCUCCUCCGAAUUCCCUCUUUCUCCUUCUCCACCUUCUAAUUCUUCUUCAAAAUCGCUUUAUAAAUUCAGGUUCGAGAGAGACAAGGAGAGGAAAAUAGCUGCUCAUAAAAGGGUUGUACUGAGAAAAGAGAGCCAGAUUGCUGAACAUUCUAGAAGGCUACAUGAUAUUCAAACACGUGUGUCUCAAGAGAAAAUCAAAGCCAUUCAAACUUCUACUGAGUUGUCCCAUUUGCUUAGGGUCAGAGUUUUUGUGAUUUCUUUUUGUAGACAAGCCUCUGUAGCUUUGAAUGUAUGGCAACCUGAGGUUGUUCGGGGUAGGCAAAAACAGAUGGUGGAACAAUGUGUUGUGCCUGCUGAAUCUCGGAUCCGUGCACUUGAGAUGGAACUCAGGCUUUGUAAGCAACAGAUUAUGGGGUUGGAGAAGUCCCAUAGAGAUGAAAAGGGUAGGCUUGAUAAGGCAAAGGAAGAGUUAGUAGCUAUGAAGUAUCAUCCUCUUCGGGAGCAUGAGCCUGAGAGUGGACGGGAGAAUGAGCAUAACAUCAAGCGGAAGAAAUUGAAAAGCUACAAUAGUUGUGAGUUUGAUGUGCGAGAAAAACAAUGCAAAACACCAUAAAUUGAUGUUCAUCUUGCAACAAGUAGAUAAUGUUCUUAUUCUCCAGAGGUAGGAGCAAGCAUAAAGCCAAAGUUGCAUUGGACGAUGAGUAAAAUUCUAAGGAGAUAAAUUUUACUGGUCUUUGGUCUCUCAUCCAUUGGAACUGAAAUGUUUAACCUGCCAUGAAACCCUACUGCACUUGGUGGAGAGGAUGUAUUUGCCGUAAGGAUUGAAACUUAAUGGAAAAAUGUGGUAUUAGAAACAUUGUCAUGUGUAACUUAAAAGAGUUGAGAUGCCACUUGGUUUGUAACAAAUGCAUUAAAAAGUGUUACUACUAUUAGUUGACAUAGUAAUAAUCAUAUUGUAAUUUGUACCUAUUCUGCUGCCACUUUAUGUGUACAUUUCCACCGUUUGUUAGACCUUUAUUACAUAUUUUAUUAUAUGCUUUUGCUCAUGGUUGGAGAA